rnacentral:misc_RNA from 1 species
AUAUAAUUUUAUUUAGAGAUAUAAUAAAAAGUCAUAUUUCUCUCUCCCAGAUUUCUUGUACAUAUUUUUCUAAGAUUACCUUUCGUUUGCUACCCUCCCCCUUCUUAUGAUCGUCAUUCAUGAAAAAUGACAAGUUUGCUUAAGAAUCAAAUUUUGAAGCAUUUGAGCAAAUUUGCCAAGAAUUUGUCUCCAGACCAAGUGAAUUUAUCUGCGCUCAAAGGAGAAGGGGAACUAAAGAAUCUUGAACUCAAUGAAGAAGUCUUGACGGAUCUCCUUGAAUUGCCAAGUUGGUUAAAAUUGACAGAAGCAACUUGUAAUCGCGUUACUGUUCGUAUUCAGUGGACCAAACUCAAAAGCGUUCCCAUACACCUCUCUCUAGAUGAAGUCAGAGUUCAGGUUCAGACAUGUGAAGAACUUAGAAGGUCGCAAGGUGGAAACUCAACAACACAGCAUCUUCCACACUCAGCGACUGGUCCCUAUGGAUUUGCCGAUAAAGUUGUUGACGGAAUGACACUCACGGUGAACUCUGUGAUCUUAACUCUCAAUAGUAAAGUGUUUCAGGCUUCAUUCAAUAUUUCUAGAAUCAUGGUAGAGUCCAAGUCACCCCAGUGGAACCAGGCAGAUUUAAGGAGCACUAGAUUAAAAGAUGCUCUCAAAAAAGAACUUCUAAUUUUUAAAGAGCUGUCUUGGACAACGAUAAAGAUUGAGGCUAAAUCAACCGUUAACGAGGAACUUACUCCUUUAAGGCUAAUCACUAACUUAGCUAAAUGUAGAAUCACUAUUAAGAAAAGAUUGUCAGACUGUUCUGUUCUCGGAUGUCGUUUGGUACUCAUACUUGAUGAUUUAUUAUGGGUACUUACAGAUGAUCAACUUCAGGCUGCCUUACAUUUUGCUGAUUCAAUAUCUGGACUUAUCAAAAGAGCCACAGAAGAAACUCAAAAAGCAAAAGGUGCCCGUAAACUAGAGAAUCUAUCUGGAUCUUGUGAAAAAGUUUUCAAAGAAAAAACGUCGAAAAGGAAAACAGCGGACAAUAGCUUUACCUGUCAACACUUUGCAGCACAUGAUGUAAUUGAAACAUCAUAUCAUAUCUACUUGGGUCAAAUUGACUUACAUCUCUGUGAUGACCCAGGAGGAAAUGGGCGUUCAAGUCAUCCCUCAUUGAAAGAUGGAGGAGCAUUUCAAAUUACAUUGUCAAAGCUCCAAGUGGAUUUCUACCCGUAUCAUUUAUCCACUAUGGGCAGAUCCUCUUGGAUCAGAUAUCAAAAAUCGAUCCACUACUCAUGGUUAGAAACUAGUUUACAACAAUUUAAGUCUGAACUAACAGAAACACUUUCAUCCUCUCAAUAUCAUCGCCAUAUUUCUAAGUCCGUUGGGGAUGAGGACAAUGAGCAUUCUGUUCAUCACAAUAUCUUAAGCAAGUAUGACAAGUUGAUGACAGCGAAUUUGAUCAUAAGACUUUCAAACUUUUCCUUUUGGAAAGUGACAACCUCUAAGGGGAAAAUAAUUCCAAAGGAAUUCAUUAAAACUACCAACAAACCAUAUUUAUCCUGCAAUCCUAGAGAUCGUCGCAAUAACAUCUACUUACAUCCACAAAAAGGUGAUGAUGCCCGCUGUUCAUUCAAAGACGAAAUGCCAGUACUUCAUUUAGAGUACAGUCAAUUUUAUUAUCCAGGGGAUGAUGACUUUCCACUUCCACCACCUAAGAUGUACUCAUUCGUGAAUCCUAUUCAAGUUUACUUAGACCCCUUGACGUGCUUAUGGCUCAAUGCAUUCACUUUAAAUCUGCAGCAAUCUGUCAAAUCAUUGUCUACGGAAAGUCCUGAGCCACCUUAUUUGGAUGUCAAAAUUGAGGCCAUACUACUCAAGAUUAUUUAUGAGGAUUUGCAAGAAUAUAGUGAUCAACCUGAGCGUCCUCGAUCCCUUGAAAUUCAAGUUUCUCGCGUAUUAGCGGCAAAUUAUAGAAGCUCAGAAACUGGAACUAUAUCAGAGUUGAAUAAAACUUUGAAAAUAUUUUCAUCUUCUGAUUUGUUUAACUCUUUUAAAUUCCCUAACGAAGAAUCCGACUUGAAUGUCAUUUGUCAAAAAUUUUAUGAAGUUUCAAAUGAUACUGAUCUGAAAACUAUUACUGCAAACUUAUAUUCUGGAGGUAUAUUUAGAAAAGAUCUCCUUUGGAAUCGCUCAAAAGAUGUCUGGUAUGUUACUCUAGAUCCACUUUGGGCAGAUUUUAAAGGUAGAUACACAACUCCUCUAGUCAAUGCUUUUCCAGUAACCUUAUGGCUCUAUAAAGAACCCAAAGAGUUGCCGAAUGACUCAAAAGAAGCUAAAAUGCACAUUAUCGCUCAAGUUCAUAAACUAGUCACAUUGCAACUUAACCACUAUCAGUUGUUGUUUUUACAAAGAAUGUCAGAAACUCUAAGUGAAAUAACUAUAUUUUUAACACAUGAUUUAAUGCGAAUAUUAGGAGAAGAUGAUCAAGGAAGUAUGUGUCUUGGAGUUGAUAUUCCUCAGGCAGAUGUAUCCUUUCUAAUAAAAUCACUUAAUGAGCAUGAUAGAAUGAAAAGAAAUGAUUCUUCAAGUAUACAAUCAAUCCUAUCCGUUGAAAAAUCUCAAUCUCCCAUAAUCGAUCCUUUAACUCAAGGAAACUCUACAAACAACGUUUCUCUUAAUAGUACAUUAUUAAACUCCGCUACAAUCACAGAUACUUUGAGCGAUUCUAUUAAAAGUAGCUCAAAACUGAUGUCUUCCGCCUCAAAGAAAAUGGUCAACGGUCAACUCAAGGCAAGAAGCAAACUAACUCAUAGUUUAACCAAUAUCAAAGCAUCUUUAGACUCUUCUUUUAGAGGGUCAACUGCUCAAUUAUCUUUACGAGGUGAAGAUGAUACACUUUCAAUUCGAAGUGAGGGUAGUUCUGAUUCAGAAUCUUUUAUUGUCAACAACCAACAUCAGGGAUGUGAAAAGGAGUGUAUUGAAAACACUCUUUUUGAUUUAAACCCCCAAGUUUCUGGAGGUAUAGAAGCUGCAAUAGAAAUAACAGAGUCAUACAAGGAGGGUCCAAUCACUGAAAAUGCAAAAAAAGAACAUUUAAAUCUAGAUGAUGUGAAGAUAUCAAUUGCCACGUUUCACUUGGAAGGGAUUGAAUUAGCUAACCAGUCAAAUGGUCCCCACUCCAUUGUGAAACUGAAAGCUACUAGUUUGAGGGGAGAAGAGUGCUUUAAUACUACUCUAAGCGAAUUUCAAGAAAAGUUUAAUUCUGCGAGUAAAGAUUGGAACCUUAAGGAAAAAAGCAAUAAAGAUUCUUGGUGCACGAAACUUCGGUUUACCUCAAAUUCUCCAACUGAUAUAUCGAAUAUUUUAGAAUUGAGCCCUGACGUGACACUUACUGAUAAAAUCCGUCAUUGUAAAGAUAAUUAUAUAGAAAUUGAGGCUCAAAAUCUUCCUCUAUCUUUUCAUACCUCAAUUCUUACUGGAAUGGUAGAUCUAUUCGAAGAUGAAAUUAUUCCUGUACCAAUUCCGAUGAAUAUUAACAUCGACAAUGUUUCAUUCCAUUUAUCGGAUGAUCAACCUCCAAAUAACUCAACAUCACCUGGUACCGUACCAGUGGAUCUCAAUAUAUCUUCUUUGUCUAUAGCAAGAGACAAGACGGGUGUAUUUUCAAUCACGUCAUCAAGUAAGUAGCUGAUUUGUUUAUGCAAUGAUUGGAUUGAAAAGAUACGAUAUGAUUUAUACCCUUUCGAAAUCAUGUUCACGUUUAUCAGUCCUAAAGUAUAUGACUCUCUGAUGACUGUGGAAUUAAUAAGGCCUUAGACUACAGACAGAUACGGAGUCUACAACUCUAUAAUGUGCAAUAGCUACAAGUUUGAAUUCUAAUGAAACUCGAAGAGCAACUCUCCUUGAAGUAGAAAACGACAAUCUUCGAGCAAGCUUAUCACUAUGUCAAUUUGAAGUUUUGAGCUUAAAAGCUAAACUUCAAGAGCAAGAAAUCCGAAAUAAACGAUACUCUGAAACUUUAAAGAAAGUUACUAUUUUGG